AGAGUCCUGUGAUUGGUGCCAUAUUCAUUUGAAUCAUGAUUUCUUGAAUCUGACCAGAUUCAAGAUUUUCGAGACCAAAUUAGACUCCUUCUUCCCCUCUAAUUACGGAAUCUGCCCCUUUAAACUAAAUCUUUCGGAUUAAGCUCCAUCUGUUUCUCCCAAUAAAUACAAAACCAAAUAAAAUCCGCAGAACCCUAAAAGUUAAUCCCUUUCCUUUCUCAAAAGCCCCUGGCUUUGUCUCUCUUUUUCUUAGACGGGAGCGUUGUCCCGAGAAAAUUCGAUAUUUUCUGGGAAAAUCAGAUCAAUUUUGUGGAAUGGGCGAGGAGGGUGCGCUGCCGGACCAUCUGCGGUGCAGCCGGACCGACGGCCGGCAGUGGCGGUGCAAGCGGAGGGUCAUGGACGACAUGAAGCUCUGCGAGAUUCACUAUCUGCAAGGCCGUCACCGUCAGUUCAGAGAGAAAGUCCCCGAGUCACUCAAGCUCCAGAGGACGCCCAAAAACGCGGGGAAGAAAGAUCAAAACGGCAGCGGAGUCAAAAUUAGGGCACGGAAAGUGGAGAAUUUGGUGAAGCUGCUGAAGCGGAAGCGAUCCGACGAGGCGGUGAAGAAUUGCAAGAAGAAGAAGAGGAAGGUGAAGUUGAAGAAGAGCGAGUUGAAUUUGGAGCUCAUACGGAUGGUGCUGAGGCGGGAGGUCGAGAAGCGGAACCAGACGACGACGAAGAACAAGGUUGUGGAGGAGAGUGAGGCGGAUGACGACGACGACGACGACGAUCGCGGCGGUGGUGGUCUCACCAGAGACUUGCCUAAUGGCCGAAUGGCAAUCUCGUCGUCUUCGUCGCAGUCGCCGAGGCUUCGUUCCGGCAAUGCAGGUUCCAAUUCGUCUUCUGAUGGGAAGGUCGGGGCUGAUUUGAACCCGGUUACUACUCGGCGGCGGUGCUUUCGGUCCAAAAACAUCGAGCCAAUGCCUGCUGGCACAUUUCAGUUUCUGCCAUAUAAUGUGGGGAAGUUGAGGAAGGGGAAGAGGAAAAAGUGCCAUUGGUGUCGAAAAAGCGGGAGCGGUGUUUCUUCCUGUCUAAUUAAGUGUUCCAGUUGCCAGAAGCACUUCUUUUGCUUGAAUUGCAUCAAAGAAAGGUACUUUGAUACACAAGAUGAAGUCAAAAUGGCAUGCCCAGUUUGUCGAGGAACUUGCCCUUGUAAGGAAUGCUCUGAAAAUCAAACAAAAGACGCUGAAAGUAAGGAUUAUUUGGGGGUUAAGAAUAAAGUUGAAGUAAUACUACAGUUCCAUUACCUGAUCUGUAUGCUUCUUCCUGUGUUAAAACAAAUAAACCAAGAUCAGAAAGUUGAGCUAGAAGCAGAGGCCAAAAUGAGAGGGGAAAAGCUAUCUGAAGUUCAUAUCAAGCAGGCUGAAUAUAGCUGCAGUGAACAACACUACUGCAAUAAAUGCAAAGCUUCAAUAGUGGAUCUCCAUAGAAGCUGCCCAAAUUGUUCCUAUAACCUCUGUCUAAGUUGUUGUCGAGAUCUGUUAAGUGAGAGCCUUUUUGGUGGUAUAAACACAUCUCUCCUAAAGCACUCCAACAAAAAGAAAACUUGCGUCUCUGGUAAGAAGCAACUUGUAAAGAAGCCAAUAACUGCCCAUGAGCAAAGUGUCCAUAGUUUGUACCAUUCUUCUUCUGCACCAGUGCCUAGCUUGAAAGCUUGUGAUGCUGUUAAUGGUAUAUCUUGCCCAGCUAAGGAGUUUGGAGGUUGUGGUGACAGCCUCCUUGAUUUGAGAUGUGUUUUUCCGUUAAGUUGGAUCAAAGAUCUAGAAGUAAGUGCAGAAGAAAUAGUUUGCAGCUAUGAAUUUCCAGAAACUGCUGACAUGUCUUUGUGCUGCCCACUAUGUUUGGGUGUGGACCAGAAAGUUGAUGGGCAUCAACAGUUGCAAGAAGCUUCUGUGAGAGAGAACUCAAAUGAUAACUACUUAUUCUACCCCACUCCUGUGAACACAAAUGGUGAUAAUGUUGAGCACUUUCAGAAACACUGGAGUAAAGGUCACCCUGUAAUAGUGCGUGACGUACUUCAAGCUACAUCAGAUUUGAGUUGGGAUCCAGUGUCCAUGUUCUGCACUUAUCUUGAGAGGAGCAUUGCUAGAUAUGAAAACAACACAAAUUCACAUGAAGCUAUCCACUGCUUGGAUUGGUGCGAGGUGGAACUUGGAAUCAGGCAGUAUUUCAUGGGUUCAUUGAGGGGGCAGGCCCAGAGAAAUGUAUGGAAUGAGACACUGAAGUUGAAGGGUUGGCUUUCUUCGCAUUUGUUUCAGGAACAGUUUCCCGCUCAUUAUGCUGAAAUAAUACGAGCUCUACCACUUCAAGAAUACAUGAAUCCCAUGUCUGGUCUUUUAAAUCUUGCUGCAAGGAUCCCACAAGAAAUCCCAAAACCCGAUCUAGGUCCAUGUGUUUAUAUAUCAUAUGGCUGCACCGAGCAACUUGUACAAGCUAAUGCAGUGAUAAAGCUAUGUUAUGACUCAUGCGAUGUGGUUAACAUUUUGGCACAUGCAUCAGAUGUCCCUAUCUCUGAUGAACAAGUUUCUAAAAUAAGAAAGUUACUGAAAAAGCACAAGGCUCAAAAUCAGAGGGAGGUUUCUAGGGUUGCUUCUGAACAAUCUGUGGCAAAAAAAGUCAAUGGAGAACCAGUAUUGUAUGGUGAAACCAUGAAAGAAGCAGGGCUACAUAAUGUGAUUGGAGAGGAGAUGCAUUUACGCAAAAGAAUUGCUAGAGAGUCUUGCUUCUCCAUGCAUGAAGCAUGCGCAGAUGCUGAAGCAUCUGAUUCUGAUUCUGAAGCCACAUUAAGUAGCUCUGGGACGCUUCAUGAUGCUGAAACAUCUAAAGAUACAAAGUGUGAGGUUCUGCUCGACAGCUGCAAUAGCUAUGAAAAGCAAUCCUUGGACGAGUGUUGUGGUGCCCAAUGGGAUGUUUUUCGCAGACAAGAUGUUCCGAAACUUAUAGAAUAUCUCAGAAGGCACUCUAAUGAAUUCACUCGUAAAUUUGACUUUCAUAAACAUGUUGUUCACCCCAUUCUUGAUCAGAGUUUCUUUCUAGACUCAAGUCACAAAUUAAGGCUGAAGGAGGAAUUUAAAAUUGAGCCUUGGACUUUCGAGCAACACAUUGGAGAAGCUGUUAUCAUCCCUGCUGGAUGCCCAUAUCAGAUUAGGAAUUCUAAGUCUUGUGUACAUGUGGUGCUGGACUUUGUAUCACCCGAAAACGUUGCCGAGUGCAUCCAGUUGACUGAUGAAGUCCGUCUACUUCCAGCAGACCAUAAAGCAAAAGUUGACAAGCUAGAGGUGAAGAGAAUGGCCCUUUAUAGUAUUAGUUCAGCAAUCAAAGAAAUACGUGAGCUUACUUGUCCAAUUAUCCACUGCUUGUUUGUAAAUGCUGCGCUGCUCAUGCUCUAGGUGCCCAAAUUGUUGGACUCUAUCCAUACUCCCAAUUAAAGCCGCUCAUUCUCUCCAUUCUUAAACAUUUCAUGGUGCUCUGGUGCUCUAGCAAAGUAAUGGCUAGAUGAUCACGGCUAUAUCUUCUAGGAACAUCUGGAAACUGCGUCAGCUGUAGUUUGUGAAGAGGCUGCUUCGAUUCGUUUAGAUUCUAUUGUACAGAGAAGUGUAUAUACACUCUUCGUUUGUUGCGGUCUUGACAAAAGGAGCGAAGUGUUACUGUUCCCUCCUAGCAGAGAGAAAAAGAAAUAGAAGGAAUGGGAGCAUUGAUCUUACUUCAGAUGGGGAAAUGAUUCUCGAAGCCCUACUUCAUUACCGAGAAGCGUCUGAAUAUGUGCUGGUACAAUUCCAUUUCAUGUAAAAACACGACAUAUAACCGUGAUGUUUUCCUUUUCUUUUAGGGGCAUAGAACAUUUGAGUCCGAGUCGCUGCUGAAUGCUUUUCGGAUGGCACAAGAACUAGCUUCCCAAAACUAACCUUGUUCAGCAUCUUUUUAUUAUUUCUUUUCCUAAAAAAGAGACCAGAUGGUGGCCUAACCACGGCACUUCAUUUUUUCGGGGAACUCAAUGAGGCAUUUCAGCCUUGCUCUGACUAUCAUCCUGCUUGCCCUUGGCAUUUCUGAUCUUUUUAGUGUGAUUAGCAAAUUUGCGCGUGGAAGUUGGCGGACAUUAAUUUCUUUUGAUAGAAAAAGAGUAGAUUUUGGUUUUGAGCGGAUGCUUGCUCCACUUGAAAGCGUUGGUUUUCGUCAGCUUAGAUCACCUGCAUCCUUCCACCUUCCCACCGCAUCACAUAUAGACUUGAGAAAUGCUAAGGAGACUCAAAAGCGGGAGUAUCCGUGGACUUCCUGCAUCCUCAUGUUUUUUGCACAAUAUUUUAUAAUGUUAGCAUGAGAAUUAACAUGAAACUGUGAGACGUCAAAGAGUCAAUGGAGAGUCACUUUAA